UUAACACAGCCCCCUUGCAACCUUCUAAUCUGCGCUCCCUAGGAAACAUUUUCUUCUCUCAGAACCUAGAGGAAUCAAGUGGGGAACAGUCCAUUUUUGAAAGAGGCAGAAAAUCAACAGGGAUUAGAGCAGGGAUGCCAAACUCCAGGCCUACAUAUUCCACAUUCAAAGACCUAACACAUGCGUCGAAGAAGUGAACUGACGACUCCAGUGGUGAUGCUACUGAGAGGGCUUCAGUUUCUUCAACCACAGCACACACUUCAGGGAGAGAAGACUCCUGGGAAGGGAUGGCAUCCACCUCACAUGGAGGGAUUGCCAUCAGUUGGGUGAUACAUCGAUCUGACUUGGAGCCACAAUAGUGUGUGAGGCUGGAGCAGAAGACAGUUGACCUACCCCCAAGGAAGAACAUGAAUCCCAGCAGCAGCCUAAUAGUAUACAAAGGUUUGACUCCACUCCGUUCCCUCCCUCCCUGCUUUAGACUUGGCCCUGCAAUUGAAAGCUGUUUUCAGAAAAGGACUGUCAACACAUUAAAGUAUGUGAUGCAAGUCAA